UGAAAUCAUCACCACAACCAAGCCAAGUGCAUCCAUCGCUCAGGCAGUCACCAUGGUGUGAGUGCGGUGAGACGGCUUUGAUCUGGCUCUCAGCCACUUCUGAUGCUCCUGGUACCUGCAGUCACCACGCUGCACCCAGGCUUCUGUGUGUGUUCAUCCCACAGCUGCAGCAGCCCAAAGGGAUGAGAAGAUGGAUAUGGCCCGGAGAUAAUGCACACCUCUCGUGGGGACAGUGUCCCCAUCCCCCUCCGGCUGCACUGAAGACCUGGAGCAAUGGCUGCCAUCCAUGCGCGAGGACCCCUCGGAGGUUCCACCUGCACAGACCUUGCUAAGGGUGAGGUGAUUACUAGAAGGAGCACCUUUUCUAGUUAAAAUCUAACUAGAUUCUCCUUGGCAACUUGUCUUACAGAAACAGGUAUAGACUAUCACCUUGCCCAGCUGGGCGCAUCUUCGGAGGGAGGCCUGGGGCCACGUGCACCUAAUGAAGGUG
rnacentral:lncRNA from 1 species